rnacentral:rRNA from 1 species
UGGGGAAUAUUGCACAAUGGGCGCAAGCCUGAUGCAGCCAUGCCGCGUGUAUGAAGAAGGCCUUCGGGUUGUAAAGUACUUUCAGUCGGGCGGAAGGUGUCAAGGUUAAUAACCUUGGCAAUUGACGUUACCGACAGAAGAAGCACCGGCUAACUCCGUGCCAGCAGCCGCGGUAAUACGGAGGGUGCAAGCGUUAAUCGGAAUUACUGGGCGUAAAGCGCACGCAGGCGGUUGAUUGAGUCAGAUGUGAAAUCCCCGGGCUUAACCCGGGAAUUGCAUCUGAUACUGGCAAGCUUGAGUCUCGUAGAGGGGGGUAGAAUUCCAGGUGUAGCGGUGAAAUGCGUAGAGAUCUGGAGGAAUACCGGUGGCGAAGGCGGCCCCCUGGACGAAGACUGACGCUCAGGUGCGAAAGCGUGGGGAGCAAACAGG